rnacentral:lncRNA from 1 species
AGACUUAGCAUACCUUAAACAUGUUGAGUCCUUAAUUCCUUCCAAGUGACUCUUCAAACAAGUCAACUCGAUCUAUCAUAGCAUAAGGAGAUUCAAAAUUAGUGUUGAGCAAAGGCCAUUAACUUGAGCUAGUAGCUCAUUUUACUUAAAUUUGGGCAGCAUCUCCUUUGUAACAAGGGCCUCCUCCUAUACCAUAUAAAAACAACAACAACAGCAACCAUAGAAGUCCAUCAACGUAUAAAUUUCAAUAACAAGACACCACAUAACAAUAAUAAGUCACAACUACUUCACGACGAGGCGGCAAGCUCCAAUUGGAAUUCGUAUAACCCAUCUACUCCUUAUAGACUUCUUACAUUAAGUUAAAGGUAUCAUCAACAUGAUAAUAAAGUCAUUCAUCAAUAAUUCCAUCCUUAUACCAUAUAUUUAUAACAAAGGAAACAACUCAAACUCUAACUACCUUCGAUUAGUAACUUUAUUCACUAGUUGAUAUCUACUCCAUCCAUUUAACUUAAUCAACAUCAAUAUAACCUUAGGCACAUGCAAGAACACAAUAUACCUUCCUCCUAAAGUAACUUCAAGUUGAAAUCCAAGUUUUAUUUAGCAUAAAAUAACCCUCAAUGUCAAUAUAACACCAUAGAAGUGACUUAAGCUAAUCCAAGUAUUAUCUUGUAGUGUAUCAUCCUAACAACUUAACCAACAUACAAGCAAGCUUAAGCACAAUUAGUAGGCUGCUAUACUCACCUUAGACAACAGCAACAACUUGGAAUUUCAUCCAAAUAUAGCCCACAAUCAUCCUCAAUGACAACACAACCUCAAAGAGGUGUUGUUCUUCACUAGGACUAGGUUUUGAUGUUGAAAUAUGGUGUAAUCCAUUUGAAUGACAUGAAAUAAUCUAGGGUUGAUAUAACAACCAUGAGAGAUUAUUUUACAGAAUAUAAAAUACUUAAUAUAACCUCCCAUACGAGCUUGAACCACCUAAAAUUCAGCAACAACAAGAACAAUAAGAGACUUACUAGAUCCACGAGAUUUCCGAUACUUGAUUUGUGUUGUUUGCCCUUUGUUUGGGUAUUAAAUCCUGAGAGAACCUUGAGAAGGUGUUCCUAGGGUUAUAAGUUCUGAAAAUGGUGAAACAAAACGACUUAAAACGGGUUGUAUGUGCCCUAUAUAAAUCCAAAUGUCUUAACCCACCUUAAGUGGGACCCCUAGAGAGGUGCUUGGCGCAGUCUCGCGAAAAAGCGAAUAUCUCUCUACUACCAUGUCGUAUGGAUGAACGGUUUACUCGUUGGAAACUAGACUUGUAUAUAUUAAAUUUGGUAUAUAGAUCAUUCUUGUAUUCUAAUAAUAUUGGGAGAAAAGUUCAUAUACAUUUGACCUAAAUUUCAGCAAAUUUAUGAGUGUAACUUAUGAUAACCUUUGCCAACUCUUGUUCCACAGCUUGCUUAAAUAAAAUUGCAAGAGUAUAGAGCACUAAUUAGUUGUGAACAAAUGGGCAAAUAGUGAGAAACAUAAAAUCUCACAAAUGAUUAACAUAAAAUCUCAUAAAUGAUUAAGUAACAACAAUUGAGGGAGAAUAGUGAAAACCAAAUAUCCGGUGCAUCAGAGUUCACAAGUGCCUUAAGAUACGCUCCGAGCAGGGCUAGGAGGUCGUUAAAACAUCACAAUGGCCUUGGCUUUCAGUCGGCCACUGAAUAAUUAGAUAUAAUAGUUUCAGAGCAUAAGAGAGUAAGUGAAGUGAGAGAGACAAUAGUGAUUAAGAUCCGUCCUUAGGAGUAUUGGGGGAGGAGUUUAUAUAGUUCUCAAAGUACCCAAAUCAAAAAAAAAAAAAAACAUCAAUCAAAUUACGAAAGUAAGGAAAGAAUCUCAUGUAAAUCGAUUCUGAACCGAAUUAGGGCUUAAUCAAGCAAACCCCAGACGAAGAAUAAAAAAUAGCCAAAAAUCUGGUUGAGAAGAACAUAUGUGACCUUGCCUUGGAUGUGUUGGACCAAGAAUAAAGCAGAUAUUUAGAAUCAAAGCCAUAAAGAACUUCCAUAAAUAAAUCGGCACCAAAUGAACCAAGCCAUGAAUUAGAGAAGUAACAUUUUGGACUCGAGUAAAGGAAAAUGGAUGAUCUCCAUGUCGGACUGUAUUUGGGAUACGGAUGAGGCGGCUAGGUUUUAGGAGAGAGGUAGAGCGUGUGAGGGUGACGGACACCAGGGGAAUGGUCCUUAGGAUUUGGGAUUGGGUUUGUAAGUAAGGGGAGAUGGUUUAAAAAUCGUGUCCCAACCAGGUUGAGGGUAAAGGGGUCGUUUCGCUUGGCCAAGAAUUUUUGGCCG